UUACGGCCAUAUCGCAUUAAAACAACGGUUCUCGUACGAAUACCGAAGUUAAGCAACGUCGACAUUGGUCAGUACGUUGAUGGGUGACUUCCUGGGAAUAUCAGUUAUCGUAA